rnacentral:rRNA from 1 species
UGAGUAACACGUAGGUAAUGUACCUUUGGGUGGGGAAUAACUUAGGGAAACUUAAGCUAAUACCGCAUAAUGCAGCGGCUCCUUCGGGAGACAGUUGUUAAAGAUUUAUCGCCUAAAGAGCAGCCUGCGGCAGAUUAGCUAGUUGGUAAGGUAGCGGCUUACCAAGGCUACGAUCUGUAUCCGACCUGAGAGGGUGGUCGGACACACUGACACUGAAUAACGGGUCAG